UACGGAGGGAGCUAGCGUUGUUCGGAAUUACUGGGCGUAAAGCGCACGUAGGCGGCUUUGUAAGUUAGAGGUGAAAGCCCGGGGCUCAACUCCGGAAUUGCCUUUAAGACUGCAUCGCUUGAAUCCAGGAGAGGUGAGUGGAAUUCCGAGUGUAGAGGUGAAAUUCGUAGAUAUCUGGAGGAACACCGGUGGCGAAGGCGGCAUCCUGGACCAACACUGACGCUGAGGAGCGAAAAGCCAGGGGGAGCAAACGGG
rnacentral:rRNA from 1 species